ensembl:lncRNA LINC01206 long intergenic non-protein coding RNA 1206
CUUGACAGUUGUAACCGAUAGACUGGGCUGGGGCAACGCUGAUGAAAGGCAAAUUCCUGAGAGAAAAAUCACCCAGACUUUCUAGAAGUUGUUAUGAGUGGACCUGACUACCUAGAGAGAGUAAUACAGAAGCUCCGUGCCGAUCACAGCUACCUCAUUACCAUGUUCCUCCAAGAUGGCCGCCCCUGAGGAGAAUCAUCAACUGGGCUUUACGGAAGAGAGAAAUCCAAACGACCAUCAGCAACAAAUGAAAGACUGAAGUUGAAAGGAAAUCCAUAAUUUUUGAAUGCUGGCCGAGGUCUGUGACCUCUGACUGAAUGGUUUCCAAGCUCCGAAUUCCUAGGUGAUGUUUUCAUUUGUUCACACUUGCUGAAGAAGGGAAAGGCUCUCUGAUUUACGUGUAAGCAAAACAAUCUAAACAGUAGGAUAAAAUCAUGUUGGAAUGGAGUUCUGUGUGGAUGCUCCUUUGAACCAAAUCAGUUCCACAACUGACCCUGUCAGGGACAUAUAAAUUUAGCAUUUUGGUGUGGAUACAGAAGACGAGAUUAACACAGAUCAAGUAACAUGGAAAUAAAAAAGGAGACAAUGCUGGAUGAUACAGGGGCAGCCAACAAGAGGAGAAAACCCAAGCAUUGGCAAAUGCCUCAUUAUCCAAAGAACACUUAAACUCUACUUUAGAAAUGGCUUAAAGACCCCAUUCAGGUGUCAUUGAAGAAAAACCUCAGUCCUCAAGAACAAAUGGGCAUUUGGUCACCAAGCUAGUACCAGAUGAAAUUAGCCAGGAGGUGUGGAGCAAAACUGUGUUGAAUGAACUGUAGAUGGAAAUUCUCUCCUUCCCACCGAGGAGCCGCUGCAGGUUGCAGACUCCCAGAAUGCCACACUGAGAAGAGGAGGGCUAAAAUUCUAGAGCAGAAUCCCUGGGGCAGCCCCUGCUGAAGAAGGGUGCAUCUGUUGAGAAUCUCAUCACCGCCCCCACCCCGCCCAGCCUUCAAUUUAGAGGAAUUUCUAGUUCACGCAGAAUGAAGACAAGAUCACAUAAGGGCCUCAGAGUAUGUCAGCUGGGGUCAGACGGGAACAGGAGUCUGGCUCAACACACAUUUAUUGCACUCCUGUUUCAUGCCAAGAAAUGUACCAAAAUCUGGGACUGUGUAACACAGCAAAGGAAAAGACUCAUCUCCAGGAAGCCCCCUUGUCUAGGAAGAGAAAUUGAAUAUCAGCAUAAGGUGGUGAAAAGCUGUGAAGGAGAUGAGUGCCAGGAGUCCAUGGAGGAAGGAUUCUAGCCUGGACAGGUGAUUGUGGUGAAUAGUCAUGAGAAUCUGGGAACUGGCUCCUGCUCUGUCUAUCUUGGAGAUGCAUCUUUUGUGAGAAGCCAGGGCAAGAAUAGGGAGGCUUAGGCAAUGGGAAGUUUCUGAGUAGAUAAAGCAGAUGGCAGAGCAAAGGGACAGAGCCUGGCGAGAGGCUACUCCCUGUAGCAACCUGCCUAAGAGUGAGAGGAAAGCAAGGCAUGGCUAUGAGCACGUGUAGUCUCAGCUACUUGGGAAGCUGAGGCUGGGGGAUCACUUGAGCCCAGGAGUUCAAGACCAGCCUAGGCAACAUAGUGAGACCAUGUCUCUUUAAAAAAAAAAAAAAAAAGAAAAA